rnacentral:lncRNA from 1 species
GCAUAAGUAUUUAAGUCAUUACAUUAUGGAGGUGUUGGAGAGAGCUGGUGGUAUAGGAGGUGAGGAGGAGGGAGAGGGAGUGGUGGAGUGACACAGAGAUAAAGGUAGAGAAAAAGAGGGUGAGGCAAAGAUAGACAGCUUUACCAUAGCAAGAAAGACAGAGGGAAAGAGAGAAAGAAAGAGAGACAGAGAGAUGCACGAGAGAGAGAGAGGGACAUGACUCAGAGAGAGACAUGAGCUACAGAGAGAGAGAGGAAAAGAGAGAUAUACAGAGAGAGGAAGAGAGAGAUAUAUAGAGUGAGGGAGAUAUAUACAGAGAGAGGGAGAGAUAUACAGAGAGAGGGAGAGAUAUACAGAUAGAGGAAGAGAGAGAUAUACAGAGAGAGGGAGGAAGAGAUAUACAGAGAGAGGGAUGGAGAGAUAUACAGAGAGAGGGAGGGAGAGAUAUACAGAGGGAGGGAGAGAGAGAUAUACAGAGAGAGGGAGGGAGAGAUAUACAGAGAGAGGGAGGGAGAGAUAUACAGAGAGAGGAAGAGAGAGAUAUACAGAGAGAGGGAGGGAGAGAUAUACAGAAGGAAGGAGGGAGGUAUAUACAGAGAGAGGGAGGGAGAGAUAUACAGAGAGAGGAAGAGAGAGAUAUACAGAGAGAGGGAGGGAGAGAUAUACAGAAGGAAGGAGGGAGAGAUAUAGAGAGAGAUAUAGAGAGAGGGAGAGAUACAGAGAGAUAUAGAGAGAGGGAGAGAUAGAGAGCGAUAUAGAGAGAGGGAGAGAUAUAGAGAGCGGGAGAGAUACAGAGCGAUAUAGAGAUAUAGAGAGCGGGAGAGAUACAGAGCGAUAUAGAGAGAGGGAGAGAUACAGAGAGAGAUAUAGAGAUAUAGAGAGAGGGAGAGAUACAGAGAGAGGGAGAGAUACAGAGAGAUAUAGAGAGAGGGAGAGAUACAGAGAGAUAUAGAGAGAGGGAGAGAUAGAGAGAUAUAGAGAGAGAUACAGAGCGAUAUAGAGAGAGGGAGAGAUAUAGAGAGAGAUAUAGAGAGAGGGAGAGAUACAGAGAGAGAUAUAGAGAUAUAGAGAGAGGACAUUUCUGUGGUUAAGGAGGCUCUGUGUCUGGUCUAGUGGGUUGUCAGGACUCAUGGAGUGUGUUUGUGGCGAUCUGAUGUGACAGAGAGGUAGUCUAUACUGGCGUGCGUCGCUCUCUCUCUCUCUCUCUCUCUCUCUCUCUCUCUCUCUCUCUCUCUCAUCCCCCAUGUCCCCCUGCAGCACUAAGUGACCUACAUCUCGUGUCAGGGGGCGUUUCUGUCUGUGUGUGUGUGUGUGCAGGCGGGGGCUAAGGGUUGUGUAGGUCAUUGGAGCGUUGUAACAUGUGACUUAUGGGGCUAAGGGUUGUGUAGGUCAUUGGAGCGUUGUAACAUGUGACUUAUGGGGCUAAGGGUUGUAGGUCAUUGGAGCGUUGUAACAUGUGACUUAUGGGGCUAAGGGUUGUGUAGGUCAUUGGAGCGUUGUAACAUGUGACUUAUGGGGCUAAGGGUUGUAGGUCAUUGGAGCGUUGUAACGUGAUUUAUGGGGCUAAGGGUUGUGUAGGUCAUUGGAGCGUUGUAACGUGACUUAUGUGAGUGGAGUGCUCUGCUCUCUGUAGGAUUUAGUGCUGAGCAAUAAAGUCUACAUUUCGGGUAUUUCUUGGAGUUCAAUUGUUUGGGUUAGUGUGUGUGUGUGUGUGUGUGUGUGUGUGUGUGUGUGUGUGUGUGUGUGUGUGUGUGUGUGUGUGUGUGUGUGUGUGUGUGUGUUCUGAUGUUGGGUGUGUGUGAGUGUUCUGAUGUUGGGUGUGUGUGUGUGUUUAUUCUGAUGUUGGGUGUGUGUGUGUGUGUGUGUGUGUGUGUGUGUGUGUGUGUGUGUGUGUGUGUGUGUGUGUGUGUGUGUAUUCUGACAUUUGGAUCUAUUCCCAUCUAUUUAUAAGUCAGAGCAAUAAUCUCUCUGUCUCCGCCCCGGGCUGGGACUGACAUGGUGUCUGUGUCAAUAACAACACACCACAAUGUUAUUUGUGUGUGUGAGUGUGUGUCUGAGCAUGUACAUGUGUUUGUGAGAGAGAGAGAGCGAGAGAGAGAGAGAGAGAGAGAGAGAGAGAGAGAGAGAGAGAGAGAGAAAGAAACAUGUGUGAGUAGAUUUAAGAUGAAAUAGCCCUGUGUUGUAAAACCAGCAGUAACAGUAAUGUGAUGUGUUCCAGUGUUCUUUUACAAUGGAUUCUGAAGACAUUCCCAUUCUAGAACCAGCUCCUGUCUCAUUAUAUAUAUAACAGUAAUGUGAUGUGUUCCAGUGUUCUUUUACAAUGGAUUCUGAAGACAUUCCCAUUCUAGAACCAGCUCCUGUCUCAUUAUAUAUAUAACAGUAAUGUGAUGUGUUCCAGUGUUCUUUUACAAUGGAUUCUGAAGACAUUCCCAUUCUAGAACCAGCUGUCACGUCCUGACCAUAGUAAGAUGUUAUUUUCUAUGGUAGAGUAGGUCAGGGCGUGACAGGGGGUGUUUUGUGUUUUUCUAUGUUUUCUAUAUCUAUGUUUAGUUCUAGUUUUCUAUUUCUGUUUUUUUGGGGGAUGAUCUCCAAUUACAGGCAGCUGGUCCUCAUUGUCUCUAAUUGGAGAUCAUACUUAAGUAGG